CUCUCAAAAGAAAAGACAAUCCCCCAACAGAAAAGAGAGAAGAGAAGAGGAAGGACUACCACUCGAGGGGAGAAGCUUUCUGGUUUUGAGGAGAGUUGGUUGAAUUGUCUUUUUCUUUGGCUCAUUUUUUUUUCUUUUUCUUUUUUUUCCAAAUAUCGG
rnacentral:ribozyme from 13 species